AUUUCAAAAUCCACCAAAUUAAUGAUAGUUGCAAUUAUAUUUGACUGUAUUGGAGAGGACAUGGUGAUAACGCCAAAAUCUUCGUUUACAGCUGAGCGUACAACUGUGCAGGAAGGUUUACCCCAACCACUAUAUUGAACCCACCCUCAACUUCAGCCGAGAUGCACCCUCCAUCCAAGUCUUCCGUAUGCCAAAAAGAAAAGUCUGCCCGAGUUGAUGAGCCCUUUUACCGAAAUAGAAAUACACAACUGAAUCUUUUAACAGCUGAUCGCAUUCUCCUACUUAUUUCCAUCCCACAACCAGACUUUUCAGCAAAUAAUUAGCAAAAAAUUCAUCUUAAUGACUACAUACGUAACCUAAAAAGAAUUCCUAUUCACAUAAGUAACCGAAGAAUUCAUCUUAAGGAUACUGCAAAAAUUACGAAUUUCUUGUCAUUCUAGGGGGCGAUAAUGAUUUUAAUGAAAGGGGUGACCUUGUGACAGAAUAAGAUUAGUGACAAGGAGGUCAUGUUAUAAAAUUCCAUUGUGUUGAUUUCUUCUUUUUGUAAAGCUGUAGUGUCUUUUUCUUUGAAAAGCAGACACCAUCCAAGUUUCUGCACGCUGGACAUGAUUGGAUGCGAACAGUUUAACAGAACUUGCUAAUUAGAUUUCCGUACUAUUUGGAUGCGUAGGACUGCCUCUUUUUUUAUUAAAAAUGUGGCUAAGAUUGUCCAAGAGUACAAGAAGAGGCAUCUUGAAGGGGACAAAGACGCUAUUGAUUCAAAGUUAACAAGUUGCUUUUUGACACUGCCUACUACUUUUCACAAGGAUCUAUCAGGUGGAGUACACUAA